AGCCAAGCACACCAGUGUCUGGGGCUGCGGGACACUGGAAAGAAAGGAUCCAGGGUAAACAUGACUUCCAAGCUGACCAUAGCUCUAUUGCUUUCUUGGCAGUUCCAUGCUUUCUGCAGCACCGUGUGAAGAAAAUUGUGAAGAAAUCCUGUUGGCACCAUUUCAGUUCACCGCUGAACUCAAAGGACCGUGAUUUCAGUAACAAAGGAAUAUCUAAACCAGGUAAAUAAUUGAUCCUCCAAAUCUUUUUUUUAAAGCUCAUUCACAAAGACCUGUAUCUCUGCCUAGAUCUUCAGCAAAAGUGGGUGCAGACAGGUAUACAGAUAGUUUUGAGGAGAGCAAGAGGGGGUCAGCACUAGGGGCAGCCCAGCAUUGCUUGGAAGACUGCAGCCUGGAAUUUAGUAAGGUGUUGUGAGUAUACACUUUAGCCAAAAAUACAGAAAAUUAUAUUUUUUGAGUGAGCUUAUAGACUUUUCAAAGUAACUGAGAGACACUUGACUUGAUGUGCGCACUCUACUACAUAUUUGAUUUUUAUCUCAGGAAAAGAAGCAGAAAUAAGAUAAAAUUGUUGAACUUAGUAAUCUACAGACGUCUUUCCUGCAUCUGUCUUUGUGGGGACCAAACUCGACGGGGAAAACUGGGAUGAGUUGAUAGGGAGUUUUGUUGCCUUCGUACUAACCUGGACAUAUUAAUCUGAGACGAGGCCUUGGGUGCUGGUAGUUCAUCUAUGAAGGGAUCCAGGACACCAGAAUAAGGAAGUAGAGAAGUGGAACAGGGAAUGGUAGAAAGCCAGUGUAAAUGCACUGGAGCUCCAAACUGAGUUCACUUGGUCAACUGAGUCUUAUUGGAAUAAGCUACACUCCCCAUGACUGCCCCUGGUCCUAGAAGGAGGCCUCUGCCACAGGGAGAAUUCUCAGCAUUGUGUGACAAUGUAAGGAAUGCCAACAGAAAGAAUAACUACAUGAUCGAGAACAGGUGAUGAAUAUUCUUCCAAAAGAAGCCUUUGCAGAAUAUAUGACCUCUCUUUAAGCUUCUGCCUGGCUAAGACGCUACACCAUAUUUUUCUUCACAGAAUAGAUGUACACAUCUUCCUUCCAGAGUAUGUCAUUAACCUACCUUUGACUUACCCUCGGUAUUUUACUUUUUUCUUCUCCUUAUUUAUUAGUAGUUGGAUUUGUAUUUUUAGAUUGCCAGGAAACUGGUGCUUAUAUUCAAUAUGAUAUUGUCUUUAUUAAUAUACUUAUAAACUUAACAGUCAACUUGACUUGCCACCAGUCAUGUCCUAUAAGUCAUAAUCCUUUGCUCAAAUGUGUAGGACUGUCUAAUUCCAUUAUCUCUGAGCGUUCACUUUAGAAAGUGAAACUGAUGCUCUAUAAUGUGUACUAUUCCUUCCUACCUACUUAGCUUCUUCUUUUGAAGUUCUCAGGAGGGUAAUGCAUUCAUUUUGGAGCAUUCUAACAUACACUGUGUAACAGAUAUGUUAUAUAAUAUCACUCCCAGCAGCCUCAAUCUUUCUAUUAUAGUGUUGAAAUCAAUAUUUGACUAACAUUUAUUUAAAAGUUAUGUAAGGCCCUUAAAACAGUUAAAGAGAUAAAAACAUUAAUGGUUUCUGCAAAUAGCAAUCAAAAUUGCUCUCUAAAAAAGGUUGCAUGAUUAUUUCCAAGGACGUGUUUAUUAGUAACCAUUAGCAUAGGUAGUUGCAUCUUUAAAUAAGUGUCAUCUUGUAUUACUGGAGAGUAAAAUUUAAAGGAAAUUAUGGGCUUUUCAAACUACUCCAUGUCCCUGUUGGAAUAUAAAAACACAUUCCUGAACAACCAUAGCAUUUCCAUAAGCCAAUAAAAUGAUGACUCAGAAGGUGAAAUACUCUAGACCACAAACCACUUACAUAUGAAUAUUUUAAAAUUAUGUAAAAGUCCCAUUUUAAAAGCAUUCAUAUAAUCAAGAAAAUAAAUGUAUUGUGCAAAAGUCAUUUAACCCCUGACUCUUCCCUGAAAUGUCUGAAGGCAAUUCAUUGAUUUCAUGAAAUACUGUUCUAAAGGAGAUUUUUAGUUUUCCGACAGAUUUAUUAUAAUGACUUUAAACAUUCUUUGGGGUUCACUUUCUUUGAUGUCUUAAUGCAGAAAAGAAUUAUAUAUAAGGACUUUUUUGCUAGUAUGCAUUCUAUUACACUGCUUGCAGUUCUCUGAUGAGCAAAUCCUAGUGUAUCUCACUUCAGCCAUGUUAGUGGCCACUUAACAAGUCUCUGAAGAUUGUAGCCUGGUCCCCGGUUAUUUCUAUGGAUGACAAACAUACACUUAGUUCAUUCUUUUGUAGCCACCGAAAUCUUAAAUAAAAUUAAUUUCUGCACUGAACACGGUACUGAUUUUCAUCCAUGGAGGAAGAUAGAUUCACUUUAGAAUAUAUAUAUUUUAUGUUUUCCAUAAACCAGGCAAAAACUGGGAAUACAAAGAUCUGGUUUUUGUCCUUGAAGAGUUCACAGUCUAGAGAGAGAGAAA